rnacentral:lncRNA from 1 species
AACGAAUCGUUGAGGUCAAAACUCCUGUUGUAUUAAACCAUAACCAUCCUUUAUAAUCAGUAGUAAGUAUUUUCAGAAUCUACAUAUUACAAUUCUUUUUCUCUAUUAAACAAAAGAUAUAAACAUUUAAAAUGCGGAAAUGGAAAUAAUAAGCAUUUGAACAAUUAAAUUGGAUAAAAUAUGCCGGAUUAGGCUAGUAUCUAAUAUUGAUUUAUAACAUGCAUUUGGAGGUAUCAAACCAAAACUCAAAAAUGUGUGUUUUCAUAAUAAAUCAUUGCAUAAAUAGUACAUAACAUACAAUAUGUUUUAAUAUUAAUGAUUACAAGUAUUGUAAAAUAAUGCAAACAAAUAUAACACGUUUGAUAUCGAACUUGUACAUCUUGUGAAUGCCACGGUGCCGAGAUAUUUACAAAACGUGAGUCGAUUUUUCUAGCAUGUUAACUAAUUGUACGGAUCUAGUGUAACAUAUGAUUUGAUUAUUUACUAUCGCCCCACACAAAAAGUAAUAAAAAAAAAAUGAACAAAAUUUAGUACUAACGAGUGUCGGAUUCCCAGAGUUGUCAGAUUUGGCGAUUUUUUUAUAACUUUUUCUACUAAAUAUCAAUAAUAUCACAGCUCACAAGUGUGUAAGCAUUUUUGUUUUUGAUACCUUGUUAUUAAAAUAUGUUGUUAAGUGAUAAUUUUUUGAUUUUUCUUGUAGUUUUCAUAUCUAAAUGCUUUUUUUGUCCACUAUGAUAAAACAUACAAUUUUACAUUUAAGUUAUCUCUAGAAAAACGAUUACUGUAAAUAUGGACACAUUGUAAUGUUAACACGUUAACACGUCACACACAUAUUUAUAACAAUAUUCUAUAUUAUUGUAUCUAAUUAGUAUUAAAUCUAUAUUGUAUUAAAAUAAUACUGAAUAAUGUAGUAUUAUUUUGUUAAUUAUUUCAACUAAAAAAAUACUUUAUUUACAGCCAAGUGUAUAAAAAUGUGUAUUGCACAGGCGACCUUUUUCUAGUGUCGUCAGUAUGUAACACGAAUUCAUGGACCUUCGCAUAUGCAGCUAUAUCCAUCAUGGUAAACUUAAGUUUAUUUUAUCAUCAUACCUUUGACAGUUCUCGAACAACUGCAACGCGUUCAUGUGUCGUUUUAUAUUUACAGACAGGUUGAUUUUUAUUUUUGUUAUAUUUUACACAGUCAACUUAUUCAAUGGAAUCUGGAGUUCACACGCAGUUUGAUAUGUUAUAUAAAAUUAUUUUUAUCUAUGAGGGUACAGUUUUUACUUUUUAAUUUGUUAAAGUCGUCUUCAACCAACUAUUAUUCUAUAUAAUAGGUAUAUAAUUUAUAGGUUUUAAAAAGUCAAAAUUACAAACAGGUACAAGUAGAUACCUACCUAUUAAUUUACGGAGAAAAUGGACCAUCAAAUAAACACCAAGUACACACCAUAAAGCAUUAUACACUGCAUAAUAAUACAGUACUAUGUUUUAUAUAACAUUCUACAGAUCAUAAAAUAUAAUGACAGAUAUGAUAAACUUUACUGUGGGUUUUUCUACAGUUAACUGAUGUUGGCCACAAUAAAUAUAGGUUCAAUAUUAAGUCAGAAAUUUAAAUUUCUUAAGAUUAUUUAUUAGAACAUAUUUCCUUGAAAACUUUGUUUUUCUCACCAAAAUGUUAUCAUUUUUUGAAGUUUGCAGCAAAUUUCCAUCAAUGGGCUCUGCCCAGACCUCAACCCAAAGUUGUUAAAAAGGGACGACACACAACAGGCACACUUUUCAUCACCAGUAAGGAGGCCACAUUUUCAAAGAACCUAUUAUAAAAUUACUUUCAGUAAUCAGUUAUAAAUAUAAUACAUUUUCAUUCAGUAGUUAUGUAGUUUUAAGUUUUUUGUUGAUUUUUGUGAAAAUAUAGUAUAAUUAGUACCUAAACUAUAUAGAUUUUGAAACAUUUUAAAAGUGUAAAUAGUAAAUUCAAUAAUUUUUAACAAACUAUAAUAUGAUAUGAACUUUUAAAUUGUAGGAUUUAAUAUUUAUUAAAAUGAUAACAUAAUUAUCAACACUAGCUCAAUAUUAUCUAUAUAUAGCUUAUAGAAAUAAUUUAAAUUUAAAUACUAUUAAAAAAAUGCAUUCAUGUAUUAAAGAAAAAAUAAUACACAACUCACUAAAUAAUGUUGUUAAUUAUUGUAGUAUGUAAAUAUUAAAAUAAUAUGUUUAAGAAUUCGCUAAAAUUCUGAACAAUAAUGCAAAUAAUGUAAAAAUCGCUUUUAAGACUAAUAAUAAUUUAAUCAAACAUAUAAAGAAUAGAACUAUAAACAUCACAACAAAUCUCUGUAAUAAAUUUUAUUUAGGUAAAACAAAUAGAAAUUUUAAAAUAAGAUGUAUAGAACACAUUUCUGAAAAAAAAAUUUAAAAAGACUGCCCCUAAUUCCAAUUUUGCUAACCAUGUUUUAGAAAAUAAUCAUAAUAUAAGUUUUUAUAUUAAUACAGACUUAAUAAUAUUAAAUACCCAAAAUAACAUUUUCAUUAAUUCAUUUUUAGAAGAAUUACACUUACACAAUGAAAUAAAGAAAACUAAUUUUAAUCAUAUUUUAAAUGUUCAACCCGAUUUUAAAAAUAAUAUCUUAUAUCAAUACUUUUAGAUAAUAAACAAUAAUCAAAUAAUUUAUAUUUCUUAACAUAUCUGUGUCUAAUUUUAAAUGAUCUCUCCUUUAGAAAAAAUUAUUUUUAUAUUCUAUGUAAAACGACCAAUUUGUAUAUUAUUUUUUUCUCUAUGUAUUCUUUCAUUUAAUUUUUUAUAUUCAAUCACGUUUUACAUUUUGAUUAUUCUAUACCUGAUAAUAAAUUUUUAAUUUGAAACGGGUUGUAUAAUACACUUAUUAUAAUACUCCAGGCUAUGCACUCAUUCAUUUAUUUAUUUUUUAUUUAUAUAUUUAUUUACUAUAUUUAAUAAUAUUAGUAAUAAAUUCACAAUAUUAUUUAAAAAUUCCCUCAUUAAAAAAUACAUACAAACCAUAACAGUUGGUCUACACAUUUUUGAUUAUUUAGAUGAUGAUAUUGUUGGAAGCACUCAAUCAAUAUUUUUUAAAGUUUUAAACAAAAUGCAAUUCUAAUGCUCUAUAUUCACUGGUUAAAUGAAGAAUGUAUGCGAGUUAUUAAAAAACUAUGCCUUAAUCAAUUUAUAAUUUAAUUUUAGGUCAAGCAAAUGUUGAAUAUCCUAACCUUGGGCCAGACUAAAAUAUGACGGAUUUACACUAUCAAAUUAACAACAGUAUCAUUUUGUGGACAAUCAAACAAUGAAAUUAUGGUAAGUAAUACAUUUAACCUUAAAAAAUGUGUAAUAGGGUAAUGCCAAUCUGUAACUCUUAUUAAUAAAUACAUUUAUUUUUAGGUCAGACAAUAGUGUUGUAAAAAUUAAUAAAAUUAUAGUAUUAAUUGAACAAUAGGCAGUAUCAUGUAAAUUGUACAAUAUUGAAAUCUGGAUAAGUAGGUAUUGUAAAGAUUCUAAUAAUAGGUAUUAAAUCUAUAUUUUAUAAUAAUAUACAGGUAAAUCAUGCAAGGGCAGUUACUAAAUAUAACCCUGUUUAUUGAAAAUAGCUACGAAAAAAAUAUAUCAUUGGAGUAGCCCUAAUAGACCUGACAGUGGCCUAUGAUACGAUCAACCAUAUAAUUUUAUUCGAUAAAAUCUACAAUCUAACCAAAGACAAGGGUCUUACACAGAUAAUACAGUCACUUCUCCAAUACAAAAGAUUCUACGUGACACUAGGAGGCAAGAUAAGUAAAAAAAAUGGGCUUCGACAAGGCAGUGUUCUGGCCCAAAUCCUUUUUAAUAUAUAUACGAAUGACUAAGCGAUCACUUCAAGUGCCAGACAUUUCAUCUAUGAUAAAGCGGAUGAUACAGCGAUAAUAGUUCAAGAUAACAACUUUGAAGGAAUAGAAUCUAAAUUGGAGUCCUCCUCACUUAAAACCAUGAUAACAUAUUAUAAAAGCAUGAAGCUGAAGCCUAACUCAAUGAAGACUCAAGUUUGUGUGUUCCAUCUGAAAAACAGGCUAGCAUCUAGAAAACUGGACUUUACCUGGGAAGGAGUUAAGUUAGAACACACACCCUACCUUAAAUACCUAAGUGCAUUAACCUUGAUAGAUCACUCAAUUUUAAAGAAUACUGUGUUGCCUUUAAACGGAAAAUAUGCGCUAGAAACACUAUUGUGAAAAUUGGUUAGUUCAAAGUGGGGCUCAUCCCGACAUAGUUAGAAUUUUUGCACUAGCUCUAUGUUUUUCGGUGGCUGAAUAUGCAUGGCUGUGUGGGGCAGAUCAACUCACACUAAACAAAUUGAUUCUGCAUUAAAUGAAACAGUAUGCAUUAUAACAGGAUGCUUAAAACCAAUACCAGUAGAUAAACUAUAUCCUCUAGCAGGAAUAGCGCCAACAUAUAUAAGUAGACAAAUUGCUAGUGACAUAGAUGGAUGUAACAGAUUACGGAUGUAAGACACCCGAUGUAUAACCCACAAAUAGAAUGUUUCCAACUAAAAUCAAGAAAGAGCUUUCUAAAAUGUAUGAAGAUAUUAGAAGAAAACCCACAGACAGCAAGAUUGAAAUUAUGGGAGGUAGAAAGCAGGCAAAUAGAAGUUACCUACAGGAGUUGGACAGUCGAAGGGGAAUGUAAAAAAAAUGGGGAAUCAGCGAUGAGAAGGAAGACACGAGCUGUGUAUGCGGAGAGGCCCAGACAAUGUCACACCUACUAAAUUGCAACGAAUGCCCAGCAAAAUGUGACGUGACAGACUUACAAGCUGCAAAUAACAAGGCUAUAAAGCUGGCAGAAUUUUGGAGCGUCGAAAUUUAAAAAUACAAUUUCAUACAUUACCUUUAGAAUCAUCC